rnacentral:lncRNA from 1 species
AAUGUUUCACAUCCUGGGGGAUUAAAACCGAGAUUAAAACCCAUGAAAUUGAAAUUUUUCACACAUAAUUGACUUAUAGUAGUAAUUGGGAAUGUAAACAUGUAAUAAUGUUUUCCCAGUAGGCAGUUUAACCAAACUUAAGAUAGACAAGACAUAAUAAAUCUAUUAUACAAUAUACACAGCAUGCACAUGACAUGUGCU